rnacentral:rRNA from 1 species
CCUACGGGGUGCAGCAGUGAGGAAUAUUGGUCAAUGGACGAGAGUCUGAACCAGCCAAGUAGCGUGAAGGAUGACUGCCCUAUGGGUUGUAAACUUCUUUUAUAUGGGAAUAAAAUGUUCCACGUGUGGGAUUUUGUAUGUACCAUAUGAAUAAGGAUCGGCUAACUCCGUGCCAGCAGCCGCGGUAAUACGGAGGAUCCGAGCGUUAUCCGGAUUUAUUGGGUUUAAAGGGAGCGUAGGUGGAUUGUUAAGUCAGUUGUGAAAGUUUGCGGCUCAACCGUAAAAUUGCAGUUGAAACUGGCAGUCUUGAGUACAGUAGAGGUGGGCGGAAUUCGUGGUGUAGCGGUGAAAUGCUUAGAUAUCACGAAGAACUCCGAUUGCGAAGGCAGCUCACUGGACUGUAACUGACGUUGAGGCUCGAAAGCGUGGGGAGCAAACAGGAUUAUAUACCCCAGUAGUC